UACGUAGGGGGCGAGCGUUGUUCGGAAUUACUGGGCGUAAAGGGCGUGUAGGCGGUGCGGUAAGUUGGGCGUGAAAUCCCCGGGCUCAACCCGGGGGGGGCCGUUCAGGACUGCCGUGCUAGAGUGUGGGAGAGGAUAGUGGAAUUCCCAGUGUAGAGGUGAAAUUCGUAGAUAUUGGGAAGAACACCGGUGGCGAAGGCGGCUAUCUGGACCACAACUGACGCUGAGGCGGCGAAAAGCGUGGGGAGCAAACAGG
rnacentral:rRNA from 1 species